GGGGGGGGGGGGGGGGGGGGGGAGGGGGGGGGGGGGGGGGGGGGGUGGCGGGGGGGGGGGGGAGACCGGCGGAGGGGGGGGGAGCGCGUAUGCGAGCUGCCGUGCACUGGGGGGUGGCCGGAAGGGAGUUGGAGUAAUACCGCAUAGUAUAUAGGGACGGCAUCGUUGUGAUAUUAAAGCUGAGGUGGUGAAAGAUGAGUAUGCGUUCUAUUAGCUAGUUGGAGAGGUAACGGCUCCCCAAGGCGAUGAUAGAUAGGGGUUCUGAGAGGGAUGUCCCCCACACUGGUACUGAGAUACGGACCAGACUCCUACGGGAGGCAGCAGUGAGGAAUAUUGGACAAUGGUCGGAAGACUGAUCCAGCCAUGCCGCGUGCAGGAUGAAGGUCUUAUGGAUUGUAAACUGCUUUUGUAAGGGAAGAAUAAGGGCUACGCGUAGUUUGAUGACGGUACCUUACGAAUAAGCAUCGGCUAACUCCGUG
rnacentral:rRNA from 1 species